CGAACCAACUAGAUCCAAAUAUAAGCACACAUCAUAGUGAAAAUGUAAACGAUUCGUUCGUCAAUCAGUAAUUGUAUUAUUAUUAUUUGUCUUAUUAGCUCAGAAUCUAAUAUGUAAUCCAAAUUGUUAGUUUAACGUGUAAAACAAAAUUGAUUUCAGAUUCCCAUAUUGAUAAAUCGGUACAUUGCGUCGGCGGUGCUGUCAUUUCCACUGCGUCGACGAUGCCGUCGUUUCCACUGCGUCGACGAUGCCGUCGUUUCCACUGCGUCGACGAUGCCGUCGUUUCCACUGCGUCGACAGUACCGUCGUUUCCACUGUACCCACGUAGAACGAAUGUCCAGCUGGUCCCUAUCGGAUGACGAAAAUAACGCGAAAUCUCCGUUGAAACAUUAGCGCCCAGCGGUGUAUAAUUAUUAUAAUGUUAUCAUUAUGUCAGUCUUCCCGAUUUUAUCAUGGCAGAUCCAGGGGACGUGGUACAUUUUUCCUUGCCAUCCUCUUCCGAUACUACCUCAGAUUUAUGUAUAGUUUUACUUUCCAGUUUUGUCUUUAAAUAUUAUGAACAACAGUUUAAAAAUAAAUUGUUCUUUGUAAAUUGAAAAAUAAAAUAAAAUUGUAAUUUAUUGACAGUAACUUACCUACCCUUG